rnacentral:rRNA from 1 species
UUAAGCUAAGAAGAGCGUAGGGAGAAUGCCUUGGCAUUAGGAGCCGAUGAAGGACGUGAUAAGCUGCGAUAAGCUGCGGGGAUCAGCAAGUAUGAAUUGAUCCGCAGAUUUCCGAAUGGAGCAAUCCGUAUGUGUAUGCACAUACAUCAUAUACUGAAUCAAAUAGGUAUAUGAGGGGAACCGCCUGAACUGAAACAUCUAAGUAGGGCGAGGAAGAGAAAUCAACCGAGAUUCUGUGAGUAGUGGCGAGCGAAAGCGGAAGAGGCUAAACCAUAGGUAGCAAUACUUAUGGGGUUUCGGACAGCAUUUAGUAUUGAUAAUUUCUAGUUGAAACGUGUGGGAAAACGUACCGAAGAGUGUGAGAGUCACGUAAGCGAAAGAGAAAGUCAGCGAGCUGUAUCCAAAGUACCGCGGGACACGUGAAACCCCGUGGGAAGAUGGGGGGACCAUCCUCCAAGCCUAAAUACUACCUAAUGACCGAUAGCGAAUAGUACUGUGAAGGAACGGUGAAAAGAACCCCGGGAGGGGAGUGAAAAAGAACCUGAAACCCUAUGCUUACAAGCACCGAGAGCACGUCAAAGUGUGAUCGGGUACCUUUUGUAGAAUGGUCCGGCGAGUUAUUGUAUGCGGCAAGGUUAAGUGCUUAAGGCACGGAGCCGAAGCGAGAGCAAGUCUGAAUAGGGCGAGUAAGUCGUAUGCAAUAGACCCGAAACCGAGUGACCUAUCCAUGUCCAGGCUGAAGUGGAGGUAAAACUCUAUGGAGGGCCGAACACACGUCCGUUGAAAAGGCCGGUGAUGAGGUGUGGAUAGCGGAGAAAUUCCAAUCGAACUCGGAUAUAGCUGGUUCUCUCCGAAAUAGCUUUAGGGCUAGCCUCGUGAAAGAUUACUGGAGGUAAAGCACUGAAUGGGCUAGGGGUCGAAAGAUUACUGAACCCUAUCAAACUAAGAAUGCCAGAUAAUUGAUUCACGGGAGUCAGACAAUGUGAGAUAAGUCUCAUUGUCAAAAGGGAAACAGCCCAGACCCACAGCUAAGGUCCCUAAACAUUGUUAAGUGGAAAAGGAUGUGGGGUUGCAUAAACAACCAGGAUGUUGGCUUAGAAGCAGCCACUCAUUAAAAGAGUGCGUAAUAGCUCACUGGUCGAGUGACCCUGCGCCGAAAAUUCAACGGGGCUAAACAAUAUACCGAAGCUUGGGAUUCUAAAGUAAUUUAGAGUGGUAGGAGAGCGUCGAAUAAGGGGUGAAGUCAGAGCGGAAGCGCUGGUGGACUUUAUUCGAGUGAGAAUGCCGGAAUGAGUAGCGAGAAUUAUGUGAGAAUCAUAAUGGCCGAAAAUCUAAGGUUUCCUGAGGAAGGUUCGUCCGCUCAGGGUAAGCCGGGGGCUAAGGCGAGGCGGAGACGCGUAGCCGAUGCACAUACGGUUGAAAUUCCGUAGCCACCGAAAGAUUUAAGUACAGGGACGCUUUAGAAGUGAUGUAGCCGGGCGAUGGUUGACCCGGUCGUAAGGGAUCGAAAAUGAGUAGAGAAGUCAUCAUGGAAAGAGACAAGAAAAGCUGUAUGGAUAUCUUAGGUGCCCGUACCGCAAACCGACACAGGUAGAUAGGAAGAAGAUUCUAAGGCCAACGGGAGAAGGGUUGUUAAGGAACUCGGCAAGUUGACCCCGUAACUUCGGAAUAAGGGGUGCUCAUGAAAGUGAGCCGCAGAGAAUAGGCCCAGGCAACUGUUUACCAAAAACACAGGUUUGUGCUAAAUCGAAAGAUGACGUAUACGAGCUGACGCCUGCCCGGUGCUGGAAGGUUAAGAGGAGAUGUGCAAGCAUUGAAUCGAAGCCCCAGUGAACGGCGGCCGUAACUAUAACGGUCCUAAGGUAGCGAAAUUCCUUGUCAGGUAAG